GUGCAGCAGAUCCACCCCAGGGGCGGACAAACUGAGUCCGUUCACCGUGUAAGGGGGCUGCUUCAAGUAGGACAUCAUGAUGAUGGCUGCCUUCACCAAAGAGCCGUCCUCCCUCCUGCUCCGUCAGCCAUCUUGUCAGAUCCCCGCUGAGCGCUUUCAUCUUCAGCUGUAUUAUAUAUAAUUCAUGGAGGCAAAGAUAUCUCCCAGCCCCCAGGGGGGAGCAUUUUACAGCUAAACGGGCGUCCGCGCUUGUCAAAGAAAAGGUAAAUGAUCUUGUUAAUGCGCGAGGCAAUACGCGCUCCUCCUCCUGUCUGCAGGCCAAUUGACAGAGUCAGGCAUAUAUUGCAAGGGACAGCUAGUGUACCUAAUGAGCUGGCCGGGAUGUCUGUGAUCAAGGUCAAAUCAAUGACUCGGCCCACCAAGUCAUCUCCAUCUCUUUUACAAACACACACAUGGCACAUUAGUUUUGUACUACCAUCUGCACAGUCAAUGCGACACUGAUAGAGUUAUUGAUAGGCAUAUUGAUAAUGCCGCAAAAGAAGCAAAGCGUGCGUCCUUUUGGGUAUUGACUUGUUUUGCUUUAUUGGAAAAACUCUUAGAUGGCAGCAGGUGUUUGACAAAUGAUCUUUUUUGCAAUUGAAAUAUUGCGAGGACACAUCAGUCGAUCAAUACAGUAGUGUCAAUUCCCCCCCCCCCACCUUCAAUUUUGCAUUUUGAGGCAAAACCCACACAAUUCUUUGUCGGUUUCCAGUUACUUGUGUAAACGUACACCGAAACCUAACACCUCGCUAAUGAGGUUGUCAGCUAAAGAGUUGCUAGCAAACUGUGAGGGAUAAUCUCAUGCUGAGAACUCGAUGAUGGAUGCUAAUUGUUGCUAUCUGGUAAAAUGACACACUGCUGCUCACGGGAAUUUUCUUUUAUCCUAAUCACCAAAAUAAAGAGGAAUGUUGGGUUUUUGAGGAAAUUUGAGAAUAACCUUAAAUGUACUCUGCACCUACUCAUUUUUGCAUAUCUACAUUUUCCAAUUUGCAGUUUACCGAUUGGGGGUUCGCAUUUCUUGUCCCUGCUGCUAGCUCGUUAACCCCCCACUUUCCAGUCCGGACCAAGCAAGGAGGUUUCAUACCUGGAAGCUGGUCAGCAAGGACCAGCCCCUACUGGGAGCUCCGGAGCACCCACUGGGCUUGGGGAGGAGGCGAGGCGGGCCAAACAAAAACACAAGCAGCCAUCCGCACGAAAGGUCUAUUGGGCCACCGAACCAAGGACUUUAAUCCCCAACUGACCAACAAUGCAAAAAGCCAGCCUUUGAACAGCCGACAACCCCCUCCCCAUCCGCCUCCUCCUUUACCAAUUGCUUCGCUGCUGGAAGACUCCAACACGGCUCCAACCGUCGGGAAAAGUAGCUGCUCUUCCUCCGUCGUCUCUUUUGAGGUAUCACACAAAGCAAUUAAGUGCGUGAAAGAGCAUUUCAGGGGCGCACCGGGGUUCUGCUAAAGCUCCGGGUCCGAGGUCACCUGAGAUAUGGUGACCAAAUAUUUGAAGGUGUCGAGCAAACCGCCACAUAAACAUAAGUAACAUUUUUAACCGUGGGCAAAAAAUGGCGGUUCGGUUUUUGAGCCUUGACAAAAUGUUUUUAUUGCGGUGUCCCUCAGGAGUUAAUUUUAAGUCCCCUUCUGUUUUCAGUAUUCCUAUUUCCUACUUUUCGCAGAAUACUUACUCGGACUACUUUUCCUUGAGUCAUAUUCUAAAGUAGCAACAGUCAUAUUUGAGUCAAGUUUUUCUGGAACCAAUUAAUCCGAACCAGUGCAAGUCACCACCCAAUUAAGUUUAGUGUGUUUCUUCAUCAUCUUGACAGUUGUCCAAAUUGAGUAUAAAAUUCUGUUUGUGUGUAUGUUUGUGUGACAUUCUGACAAAAUAGGGGUUUUGUGGUCAUGAAUACUAAUGACAGCAAUUUGUCGCCUGAGCUAAUUUUCCUGUAAUUUUGCUGAUUAUCUGUCAACAAUUUGCCAGCAUUGCUGUCUGACAAUUACCGCGCACAAUGGCCGCUCCAAGACUUUCAACCUCACCACCCAAAAUGUGGACAAAGACAAACCAAUAACAAAAUGCUUUUUUUUUUUUAACAUUAAGCGCGCUGUCUCAAUGCUCCCUCAUGCCAAAACGCUUGCUAAUCACAGCCACCAAUAUUUUCCAUAGCAGGCAAUUAGCAUCUCGCUUUCAUGUGGCAAAAUGGCUGAGGAGUGUCAGCACAGUCGCAAAACACGCAGCGAGAAUAAAAGAGCAAUUAAGACGUGGGGUGAGCAGAGGACGCAAGACGAGGCGGUCUGCUGCCGUGUGAUUUGCGGCUUGCCCGGCCCGGUAAUUAGCCUCGUCAUUGUGAGAUAAUGGACUUGGCCCCUUUUCCCGCUUCUGCCUGCUCGGCCCGCGAGGAGGUUGAAGGCCGCAAAUGUGCUGCUUAACAUCUGACUGGAGACCUGCCGGUUUUUAAACAAAUAGAUAUUUGUGGGUCAAAUAUCGAUCUCACAAUGUCCCAUCAGUUAUUGACUACUUGGUUAGUUGAAUCUCACUCUUAAAUUUCCGCUCUUGUGAGCCUAUCAACUUUUUUAGGGACGCCGUAAUCUGUGAACCCUGAAUCAUAAUCUUUGGCUAAAUCUAUGUAAUACGGGUAAUUCGAUGAAGCAGUAUUUUCCUGCAGAGAGGCGAAAUCCUGUUGACUAUUCAAGGAUUGAAUCAUCCAACGGUAAUGCCAUUAGACCAGUGCCACGGAUUCCUGGGCAAAUGCUGUUUAAUUGCCAGUAACCAGCCAUUGUCUGGUGACGGCUACACACUAUGCAAGUGGCGUCGACGACGGGAUGGGGGGGGCGUGUGAAAAAGAUGGCCCCCUCGUCUUGAGCCAAUCGCCAUUGAGAGACAGAUUUAUGCCCGGGCUGGAAAGUAGCAGAGGCACUGGCUUAACCAAAGUCUUCAAGAGUCUAAACGCAGAGUUACUCUCAGGCCUUUUAUCACAGGAUUUGCGCGACAAUGCGAUUUGGAAUGGGGGGGUUGUCUAUUGAAGAAUUUUUUUUUUUGCGAGGAUCAAGCCUUGUCGCUCACGUUUAUUAGCGCACAACGCGAUUGUUGCCGUUGUAAUCGCCAUGUUUAUAUUUGGCUUAAAGUGGAGAAAUCUCUCGGUCCAAUGAAUGAAAGAGACUUGGAUGUUUUUGUCAAUAAAACUGAUGGCCGCUUUUUGCUGGACAAUUGAAACGGGGGCAAUUUAAUGAGAGUUUGAAAUCGGAGGCCCGCAGUGGAGGACGCAGAUUGGAAGUGAGAGGUGUGUCGGGCCUUCAUUGUGACGGGCUGCCCGGGAGACGGGCGGCUCUGCCAGGACAGACACUGACUGGCUUUGACAGCGCAAAGAACCUUUUCUCUGUGCUCUUUUUAAUUUCCCAAAAAAAAAAAAAA